rfam:Asian citrus Psyllid, Diaphorina citri - Florida Strain, whole genome shotgun sequence.
GCCUAGUUAGCUUAGUUGGUAGUGCGUCUGCCUUGUAAGCGCUAGGCUGUGGGUUCGAUUCCCGCCCGGGGCG